rnacentral:rRNA from 1 species
UACGUAGGGUGCAAGCGUUAAUCGGAAUUACUGGGCGUAAGCGUGCGCAGGCGGUUAUAUAAGACAGUUGUGAAAUCCCCGGGCUCAACCUGGGAACUGCAUCUGUGACUGUAUAGCUAGAGUACGGUAGAGGGGGAUGGAAUUCCGCGUGUAGCAGUGAAAUGCGUAGAUAUGCGGAGGAACACCGAUGGCGAAGGCAAUCCCCUGGACCUGUACUGACGCUCAUGCACGAAAGCGUGGGGAGCAAACAGG